rnacentral:tRNA from 1 species
CCCCCGGUAGCUCAGUUUUGGUAGAGAGCGCUGGUCUGAAAAAUACUCUUGUCGUCGGUUCGAUUCCGACCUGGGGGA